UUAAAAUAUUUUAAAGCAGCCUCACAGUAGUCCAUCCCUUUAUCACUUCUCAAAGCAACCCCACUCUGCCUCGCCUCCAGCCGUCAUCCACCGCCGCUCACCUCAGGCUGAGAGAAGCGCAUCCUUCAGGCGCACGUUCGACAGUCGUACAGCUGGUCAAGUCUCGCCUCCAGCCACGAUAGCCCACCUCCCGCAAGUAUCUGGUUCUAUUCUCGCCUCCAACCGACGAAAACACACAUCCUGCAGCCCCGCUGGUCCAAUCGCAUAGGUCGCCUCCCCUGGUCCAGUCGCGCAACAUGCAUCCAUGAUUCACGGAGAAUACUGUGGACAUGAUGAAGCAGGAGAAGCUUUAUGCAUCUUGAUGAUAGCAGGCUUCCUCAGUCGGGGGUGAGGCGGAGCUCUGGAGAAUAAUAUAGGCCAAAAGCUCAUCAGACCUCCCCCAAUAUCGCAUGCUCCAGUCCAAUAACAAUAACACACUAAACAAGCCGAACUUUAACAGGCACGCCAGAAGAUUGACUAACUAAUGAUGUGACAAGAGUUGAGAAAACAGGCUCAGUCACUUCGCACCCUUAUGAACACGUCCUCCGGAAUAAUUAAAUAGCCGCACAAUAAAUAGAGAGAUACACUCACCAUGCAAGAGUCUGACGGUUAUGCGUAACUAGAAAACAAAAGGAAAAAAGAAUAAAAGAGAGUCUACGUGAUCUUUCCCGACUCCCGACUAAUCUCACAAAUAUUUUCUGGAUCUCAAAAUAUUACAUUUUAAGGAGGACUCAUUUUAUCACAAAUGAAUUUUUUAAAAUGUAUUUUAAAAAUUAUAUAUUAUUGACUAGUGAAAAUUUGUGUAUUUUAUAUCAUAUCGAAUGUUGCUUUAUCUCUCCUUAUUAUAUUUUUUAGAGGCCAUCAAAUACAUGAAAUUCACAAUAUUGUUCUCUCAUACAUGGUGCAGUCAUUAUACAGAGAUUGUGGAAUACUUUAUAGCAUGUAUAAGGAUGAAGCAACCCGCAGAUUGUCUUGAGGAAAUGGAAAAAAGAAAAAGGUGGCUUUUGAUAUGAACUUCAGUUUGGAGCUUCUUUGUUAGCACAAAAAGACUAUUUGCUGAUGAUUAUAUUCUAUUCAUAAGUCAUAUCCAGUGGCAACAUGCAUAUUGGAAUUCUUGCCGCUGCUGAUACUAAUAGCAUCCCAUUUACUGUAUUUUACUACCCAAGUUUGGGGAGAUUCACACCUUGAAAGAACAUGUGGAGUCAGCAUCAAGGGUCAAAUUUUAUAUAAGUUUUACAGUCCUACAGAAUCUGCAAGUUGAAUGCACCUGAAGAAACAUGGUUCAAUUGUAUUAUUUUACAAUUUUCCAUGAAUUUGUGUUAAAUUUUUAAGCAUUCUUUUUGAAUUUAUAUGGCCUUUGACGUAUGUAUUUCAUAAGAAAAGAUGAAUGGUUGGGAAAUAAAGUUAAAUAAAUGUUUAUGAUCAGACAACUUGUAUACUUCUAUCACAGGUUGUUAAUAAAAUUAUUAUGCAGGAUAUUUAUUAUUAAAAUUUUUAUUUUGUAAAUAAUAAAUUGUAUUGGUUGUCUCGGUAGGAGUAGUUAAGAAGGGAAAAUGCAUAUCGCCGAUAAUUUUAAAA